UUCGGCUCGGUGGUGGAGUGGGACGCUGCACCAGGACUCGGGCGUGCUGCGCGUGGCCGUGAAAACCAUGAAACUCGCCGCCUGCUCGCGGGGGGAGCUGGAGGAUUUCCUGCGCGAGGCCGUGUGCAUGAAGGAGUUCGACCCACCCCAACGUCAUGAAGCUCAUCGGGGUCUGCCUGCAGCCGUGGGGGGGCAGCGCCGAGGGGCCCCCGCCCCCCCCCCAGCGUCCUCCUGCCCUUCAUGGCCCACGGGGACCUGCACAGCUUCCUGCUCGGCGCCCGCCUCGGGGAC